rnacentral:other from 1 species
CGCUGGCCCAGACAUCAGAGACCUACUGAAUUCAGGAUUUCGUGAGUGAGAACUGUAAGCGCUGCGGCCUGUCUUUCGGAUCUGCCCUUCGUUUUGUCCGCUGCGCCUCCUGACCGCUGGCCCUGUCUCCCUCAGGUCAGUAAUCUCGGUGCGUUCCCGUCCUUCGGCCUGUGGCUGGAUUGCUUGCGACGUCCUAUCUACCUGCCUGCUGACUGACUGGCCGACAGCUCCGGCAAGAUGAAGCUCUCCCUGGUGGCUGCGGUGCUGCUG